rnacentral:tmRNA from 1 species
GGGGGUGACUUGGCUUCGACUUGUGUUGGUCAGGGUCAGGUGGCAUGCCGAGGAUGAUGGUUGGCCUCGUUAAAUAUCCAUUAAACAAUCAAACGCUAACGACACGUUAACGUACGACCAGGUUGCUGCAGCCUUCGCCGCAAGCGAAGCUCCUGUGGGCGCCGAACCAGCCUUAGUUUAAUACUAAACUAAGCCCUGUGAUGAGGAGAGCUUGCUUCUUCAUUGCUGGAUCCAAGCAAGCUGGCUUACCGGAUGCUCUCGUCGGGUAGGUGAGAUUUUAGAGGGCUGGUCCCAGGCGGGUUUGUCUGCUGAAACGCCCGGGUCGACAAUAAAGACAGACUACGCAUGUAGAUGCUUGGCUGCUGUAACAGAAGGACCUGGGUUCAAUCCCCAGCACCUCCACCA